CCGAGUUUACAACUCCCAAACCCCUGUGAAACAUACCACUUGUUGCCUCGGCGGAUCAGCCCGCUCCCGGUAAAACGGGACGGCCCGCCCAGAGGACCCCCUAAACUCUGUUUCUAUAUGUAACUUCUGAGUAAAAACCAUAAAUAAAUCA
rnacentral:misc_RNA from 1 species